AAUUGACCAGGGCAAACCUGUGCGAAAGCCAGGGACGCAAAGCCACCGAUCUAACGCCCGCAAGGGCCAUGACCGCGGGGUUGCCAAG
rnacentral:ncRNA from 1 species